rnacentral:rRNA from 1 species
UGGGGAAUAUUGGACAAUGGGCGGAAGCCUGAUCCAGCAACGCCGCGUGAGGGAUGACGGCCUUCGGGUUGUAAACCUCUUUCAGUACCGACGAAGCGUGAGUGACGGUAGGUACAGAAGAAGGACCGGCCAACUACGUGCCAGCAGCCGCGGUAAUACGUAGGGUCCGAGCGUUGUCCGGAAUUAUUGGGCGUAAAGGGCUCGUAGGCGGUUUGUCGCGUCGGGAGUGAAAACACCGGGCUUAACUCGGUGCUUGCUUUCGAUACGGGCAGACUAGAGGUAUGCAGGGGAGAAUGGAAUUCCUGGUGUAGCGGUGAAAUGCGCAGAUAUCAGGAGGAACACCGGUGGCGAAGGCGGUUCUCUGGGCAUUACCUGACGCUGAGGAGCGAAAGUGUGGGGAGCGAACA